UUCCUACGGGAGGCAGCAGUGGGGAAUAUUGGGCGAUGGGCGCAAGCCUGACCCAGCAACGCCGCGUGAAGGAAGAAGGCUUUCGGGUUGUAAACUUCUUUUAUGAGGGACGAAACAAAUGACGGUACCUCAUGAAUAAGCCACGGCUAACUACGUGCCAGCAGCCGCGGUAAUACGUAGGUGGCAAGCGUUAUCCGGAUUUACUGGGUGUAAAGGGCGUGUAGGCGGGACUGCAAGUCAGAUGUGAAAAUUAUGGGCUCAACCCAUAACCUGCAUUUGAAACUGUAGUUCUUUAGUGAUGGAGA
rnacentral:rRNA from 1 species